AACAAGGAGGAAUGGAAACCAAUCAGAAGAGAGAGAGAGCUACAACUAGAAAGAAACCAAUUUUUCUCCAGGAGAUGACAUGGCCUCUCCCAAUCUCAUGACACCACAUUGGCAGAUCUUAUGGUGACUAUUCCAGAAUAUCAUAUAGUUGAUUCAGGGGAGCUCCUAUUUUCACUCAGAUAGAUCUCAUGUCUACUAGGUAGAACUAAUAAUUAUACAGUAGACCACGUCCUGACCUCUCAGGUAGACCAUACCAUGACUAGUCAGCUAGAUCAUUUCCUGACCUCUCAGGUGGGCAACUUCAUGACUACUCAGGUAGACCACAUCAAAACCAUGCAGGUAGGCUUCAAUAUAGCGACUCAGAUAGAUAUCAUCUUACCCAUACAGAGAGAGUUGUUCCUAACUACUCAGGGAUAGCUGAUCCUGGCCACACAGAGAGAGAUAAUCAAGCCCAAAGAGGGAGAGCUCAUGAUAACCAUACAGGGUUAGCUCAUCACAACCAUGACGGCAGAUCUCAUCAUGAACACUCAGGGAGACCUUAUCAUGGCCAUGCAAUGAGAGCUCAUAACAACCAGUCAUGGAGAGAUCUUACCCAGUCAUGGAGAGGUCGGAACAACCAGUCAUAGAGAGGUCAUGACAACCAGUCACAGAGAGGUCAUGACAACCAGUCACGUAGAGGUCAUAAUAAUCAGUCAUGGAGAGCUCAUAACAUCCGGUCACGGAGAGAUCGUUAUGACACCUCAUUGAGAUCAAGUAGCAUCCAGUCAUGGAUGCUUCAUGAAGGAGAAAGAUUCCAUGGUCCAAGAGGAAGAAAUGGACCAAGGGAUGCAUCACCACCCGGAACUGAGCCAGAAAUUGAC
rnacentral:lncRNA from 1 species